rnacentral:rRNA from 1 species
UGAUCCGGUGGUUCCGCAUGGAAGGGCCAUCGCUCAACGGAUAAAAGCUACCCCGGGGAUAACAGGCUUAUCUCCCCCAAGAGUUCACAUCGACGGGGAGGUUUGGCACCUCGAUGUCGGCUCAUCGCAUCCUGGGGCUGUAGUCGGUCCCAAGGGUUGGGCUGUUCGCCCAUUAAAGCGGUACGCGAGCUGGGUUCAGAACGUCGUGAGACAGUUCGGUCCCUAUCCGUCGUGGGCGUAGGAAAUUUGAGAGGAGCUGUCCUUAGUACGAGAGGACCGGGAUGGACAUACCUCUGGUGUACCAGUUGUCGUGCCAACGGCAUAGCUGGGUAGCUAUGUGUGGACGGGAUAAGUGCUGAAAGCAUCUAAGCAUGAAGCCCCCCUCAAGAUGAGAUUUCCCAACUUCGGUUAUAAGAUCCCUCAAAGAUGAUGAGGUUAAUAGGUUCGAGGUGGAAGCAUGGUGACAUGUGGAGCUGACGAAUACUAA